AACGCGAAGAACCUUACCUGGGCUCGAACGGCUUUGGAUCGACGGUGGAAACACUGUUUUCCCGCAAGGGACCGGAGUCGAGGUGCUGCAUGGCUGUCGUCAGCUCGUGUCGUGAGAUGUUGGGUUAAGUCCCGCAACGAGCGCAACCCUUGUCCUGUGUUGCCACUCCCGUAAGGGAAGCACUCUCAGGAGACCGCCAGCGAUAAGUUGGAGGAAGGUGGGGAUGAUGUCAAGUCAUCAUGGCCUUUAUGUCCAGGGCUACACACGUGCUACAAUGGUCGGUACAAAGCGCUGCUAACCCGCGAGGGGGAGCCAAUCGCAAAAAGCCGGCCUCAGUUCGGAUUGCAGGCUGCAACUCGCCUGCAUGAAGCUGGAAUCGCUAGUAAUGCCGUAUCAGAAUGAUGGCGUGAAUACGUUCCCGGGCCUUGUACACACCGCGCAUA
rnacentral:rRNA from 1 species